rnacentral:rRNA from 1 species
CGUAGGGGCUAGCGUUGUCCGGAAUCACUGGGCGUAAAGGGUUCGCAGGCGGAAUAACAAGUCAGAUGUGAAAGGCAUGGGCUCAACCCAUGUAAGCAUUUGAAACUGUAAUUCUUGAGAAGUGGAGAGGUAAGUGGAAUUCCUAGUGUAGCGGUGAAAUGCGUAGAUAUUAGGAGGAAUACCUGUGGCGAAGGCGACUUACUGGACACAAAUCUGACGCUGAGGAACGAAAGCGUGGGUAGCAAACAGGAUU